rnacentral:rRNA from 1 species
GACGUAGGGGGCUAGCGUUGUCCGGAAUCAUUGGGCGUAAAGCGCGUGUAGGCGGUCCGGUAAGUCCGCUGUGAAAGUCGAGGGCUCAACCCUCGAAUGCCGGUGGAUACUGUCGGGCUUGAGUACGGGAGAGGCGAGUGGAAUUCCUGGUGUAGCGGUGAAAUGCGCAGAUAUCAGGAGGAACACCGAUUGCGAAGGCAGCUCGCUGGAACGUUACUGACGCUGAGACGCGAAAGCGUGGGGAGCAAACA